rnacentral:rRNA from 1 species
CCUACGGGGCGCAGCAGGCGCGAAAACUUUACAAUGCGGGAAACCGUGAUAGGGGAACUCUGAGUGCCCGUUAAAUCGGGCUGUCCACCAGUUUAAACAACUGGUGAAGAAAGGGCCGGGCAAGACCGGUGCCAGCCGCCGCGGUAAUACCGGCGGCUCGAGUGGUGGCCACUAUUACUGGGCUUAAAGCGUUCGUAGCUGGUUUGUUAAGUCUCUGGGGAAAUCUUCCGGCUUAACCGGAAGGCGUCUCAGGGAUACUGGCAGACUAGGGACCGGGAGAGGUGAGGGGUACUCCAGGGGUAGGAGUGAAAUCCUGUAAUCCUUGGGGGACCACCUGUGGCGAAGGCGCCUCACCAGAACGGCUCCGACAGUGAGGGACGAAAGCUGGGGGAGCAAACCGGAUUAGGCACCCGGGUAGUCCCAGCCGUAAACGAUGUGCGUUAGGUGUAUCGGUGACCACGAGUCACCGAGGUGCCGAAGAGAAAUCGUGAAACGUACCGCCUGGGAAGUACGGUCGCAAGGCUGAAACU